GUUCCUUCGGGGACAUCCUAUAAAAUUGGAACGAUACAGAGAAGAUUAGCAUGCCCUGUGCAAGGAUGGCACGCACAAAUCGAGAAAUGGUCCGAAUUGUU
rnacentral:snRNA from 1 species